UAAUACAUGAGUAACCUGCCCUAGACAGGGGGAUAACUAUUGGAAACGAUAGCUAAGACCGCAUAGGUACGGACACUGCAUGGUGACCGUAUUAAAAGUGCCUCAAAGCACUGGUAGAGGAUGGACUUAUGGCGCAUUAGCUGGUUGGCGGGGUAACGGCCCACCAAGGCGACGAUGCGUAGCCGACCUGAGAGGGUGACCGGCCACACUGGGACUGAGACACGGCCCAG
rnacentral:rRNA from 1 species